CCUACGGGAGGCAGCAGUGGGGAAUCUUGCGCAAUGGGCGAAAGCCUGACGCAGCAACGCCGCGUGCGGGAAGAAGGCUUUCGGGCUGUAAACCGCUUUCAGCAGGAACGAAAAUGACGGUACCUGCAGAAGAAGGAGCGGCCAACUAUGUGCCAGCAGCCGCGGUGAUACAUAGGCUUCAAGCGUUGUCCGGAUUUAUUGGGCGUAAAGAGUUCGUAGGCGGUCGAGUAAGUCGGGUGUGAAAAUUCUGGGCUCAACCCAGAGACGCCACCCGAUACUGCUUGACUUGAGUUCGAUAGGGGAGUGGGGAAUUCCUAGUGUAGCGGUGAAAUGCGCAGAUAUUAGGAGGAACACCGGUGGCGAAGGCGCCACUCUGGAUCGAUACUGACGCUGAGGAACGAAAGCAUGGGUAGCAAACAGGAUUAGAUACCCUGGUAGUCCAUGCCGUAAACGGUGGGCACUAGGUGUGGGUUUCUAUUAACGAAAUCCGCGCCGUCGCUAACGCAUUAAGUGCCCCGCCUGGGGAUACGGUCGCAAGACUAAAACUUAAGGAAUUGACGG
rnacentral:rRNA from 1 species